CAGAAGCAGAGUGUGGGCGUCUCCACCAUGGCCUGGGCCCCUCUCCUCCUCGCCCUCCUUGCUCACAGCUCAGGGUCCGGGGUGCGGGCCGGGCUGACGCAGGAAGCCUCGCUGUCGGGGUCUCCGGGCCAGAAGGUCACCCUGUCCUGCAAGGGGAACAGCAACAAUGUUGGAGCACGUACUGUGGGCUGGUACCAGCAGGUCACGGGCUCUGCCCCCAAAACCGUGAUGUUCGGCAGCUCCCGGCCCUCGGGGAUCCCGGAGCGGUUCUCUGGCUCCCAGUCCGGCAACACGGCUUCGCUGGUCAUCACGGGCCUGCAGCCCGAGGACGAGGCUGUUUAUUACUGUUCAACAUGGGACACCAGCAUCAGCAAUCACACACUGCUCCCCACCCACGGGGAACUGAGACAAAAACCCGCCCUGUUCCCCCUGAUCGCCCUGAAUGCCGUGACACAGAAGCGGUGGCUGUGGCAGACCCUACAGGGUCCGACUCGAGAGUCGUUCUGA